rnacentral:rRNA from 1 species
AUACGUAGGUGACAAGCGUUAUCCGGAUUUACUGGGCGUAAAGGGCGUGUAGGCGGUCUUGCAAGGCAGAAGUGAAAUUCCUGAGCUCAACUCGGGCGCUGCUUCUGAAACUGCAGGACUUGAGUGCUGGAGGGGAUAGCGGAAUUCCUAGUGGAGCGGUAAAAUGCGCAGAUAUUAGGAAGAACACCGGUGGCGAAGGCGGCUAUCUGGACAGUAACUGACGCUGAGGCGCGAAAGCACGGGGAGCAAACAGGAUUAGAUACCCUGGUAGUCCGUGCCGUAAACGAUGAAUACUAGGUGUAGGGGGUAUCGACUCCCUCUGUGCCGCAGUUAACACAUUAAGUAUUCCACCUGGGGAGUACGGCCGCAAGGUUGAAACUCAAAGGAAUUGGCGGGG